AUGUGGAUCAAGUUAUUCUUAGUUGAAUUAUUGGAUUCAAUUAAACCUUAAACAGACAGUAUAAAAUAUAAAAACACGCUCUUGUUAUUAAUUGUUUUGCAGUCAUCAAGUACUUGACUAACUCUUUGCAGAAGCAAUGGAUAUUUAUCUUUGGAGAGUAAAAUUGAGAAGCAAAGUACACAAAACUCAAGGUAGCAAAUCUAUAAUGCCUAGACAAUUAUCUUGUAUUGCUAGUUUGUGAAACAAUGAAUAUGCAUUCGCUUUAUUGUGACUAAUUCGUCCUGGUACGAAUUGAAAAAGUAACUGGCCAAGCGGUUUCCGUGACAAAAAUGGGUCAAAAUACACAACAUUAUGUGAUUUAGCUCCACUAUACUAGGGCUAUUCUUCUAUAACCCGAGAACGUUGCUCGGCAAGUAUACCGACAUGAUAUAUAUACCUUAUAAUGUGUAGCAAAACUGGAAGGAGCGAGGGCGAAGAUGAAAGCGAUACAAAAAAAAACUAUAAAUAAAUAUAUAUAUAUAAAGAAAUGUCAGCAAAGAUCGAGUGUCUAGCAAGUACAAAAGUUUGUUUCUUCCGGUUUGACUACUUCAAACGAGGGCUUAGAAGUGGCUAUGCUGUUUGUUUUACAGUUUCCCAGCACUGGAAAUUAAAAAAAAGGGCAAAACAAUACAAUAGCGGCUGGCAAAACGGAUGGAAUUGGUCCUUUGUCUUGCACGAGGAAAAAACAUGACAAGUAAAAAAAAAAUUUGCAAUUGGGUUUAAAAGUUAAGAGACAAAUGCCAUUUAUUAGAACAAUUAAAUUUUAUAAAAAAAGAAUAGAAAAAUAAUUGUUAAAGAUAGAAUAUAGCUAAUGCAUGAUACAAUAGAAUUUGAACCUC